rnacentral:rRNA from 1 species
GCUUGUGGCCAUACACCCUGAACACGCUUGUUUAGGUUCAGGCCUGGUUAGUACUGGGAUGGGAGACCGCCUGGGAAUACCAGAUGCGGUAAGCA